UUUGCAUCAUAGAUCAGAGCCGGAUAGGUGCCUGUUGUUAAAAUUAAGUGAUAAUAGCACAUCUAGCUGGCACAUAAAUCAGAAAUCAAUGCAAGCCUGCAAACCACUGAAGACAAGGGCUGCAGCAAGAGAGAGUAACUCAGGUUGCUUCCUUUGACCUUACCCAGCUCCGCAAAUUAUAUAAAGCAGCACAUGGUUAUGAAACCCUGCAGCCACCAGCAGCGGGGAAGGCGCCUCGUGCUCAUUACCCAUGCCUUUGUGGGUCUCUCCUUUCCUCAGCAUCUCGACAGCUUUUCAUAGCAAAACUCUCCCACGUUGCAUGGACUCUCACAGCCCGGCCAGGCAGGGGCGUUCCCAGCUCGCUAGCGGACCUCGCCGGCAGCCCGAGGGGUGAAGGCGCCCCGGGGACCCGCGGCCGGAGUCCCGGUGCGGGGUUUCCCGCCAGCGCCGCGGUCGCUCGCCCGCCCUUCCCCUGGCGACGGGGAGGGUUUGGUGCCUUGUUUGGCCUCGUCUGCCUCCGCGCCCACACCCUGGUAACGCAGGUAAACAACGAACAACCCAGAAGGAAGCAUGAGCCGAAAAAUCCCGUCGGUUUACGGUUGAGGAGGGUCAUUCCCGCCAUGCCCCGGGGAGCAUGGCCCCGGCGCGGCAGCUUCCCGCGCUUCGCCGGCCGCGAGGCAGCGCGGGCGCCGCGCCCCGCCGGCCGUUAGGACCCUCUCAGGGGCCACCGCGGCGCCCUCAGCGGCGGCUCCUCUGAGGGGAUUCGCCCUUUCGGCCGGACAUUUCAAAGGGCAGAAGCACACUCGGUGCGAAGGGGGCACACGGUGCCGGCGCAGAGCCCGAGAGGAGCUGCGGGGAGGCCCCACAGCAGCCCCCAGCGGCCUCAGGUCCCCGCUGCAGCCUCCUCGGACCCCUCACCUCGGAGGCCGGAGAUGAUUAACCUUAAGCAGGACAACUGAAAGCUCUUUAGUUAUGAAGCUUCUUCUUCCUUAACCACAGCAGGAAAGUAAGAAGAAAUCAGAGACUGUUUUCCUGUUGUGGUUUUGGUUAACAACCCUUUGGCUUGUACUUCAGCAACCGGUGCCAGUACAAAUACCCAUAAUCUACCAACUGCUCCUUGUCAUAAUUCUAGAAGUUACCAGGUGCUCAGGUGAUAAACCCAAGGAAAGCAACAGCAACCCACCUAAGAAACCAACAGUAGAAAUUCAGGACCAGUAACAAUGGCAAGUUAUCUGUGCCACCUUACCGAGCUUGUUUUCCCGCCCC